rnacentral:rRNA from 1 species
UAUUGCACAAUGGGGGAAACCCUGAUGCAGCGACGCUGCGUGAGUGAAGAAGUAUUUCGGUAUGUAAAGCUCUAUCAGCAGGGAAGAAAAUGACGGUACCUGAUUAAGAAGCCCCGGCUAACUACGUGCCUGCAGCCGCGGUAAUACGUAGGGGGCAAGCGGUAUCCGGAUUUACUGGGUGUAAAGGGAGAGUAGACGGCAGCACAAGUCUGGAGUGAAAUGCCGGGGCUUAACCCCAGAACUGCGUUGGAAACUGUGCAGCUAGAGUGCAGGAGAGGUAAGUGGAAUUCCUAGUGUAGCGGUGAAAUGCGUAGAUAUUAGGAGGAACACCAGUGGCGAAGGAGGCUUACUGGACUGUAACUGACGUUGAGGCUCGAAAGCGUGGGGAGCAAACAGG